GCUGGCUUAGCUCAGUUGGUAGAGCACCUGAUUUUUUAUCAGGGGGUCGUGGGUUCAAACCCUACAGCCAGCACCA
rnacentral:tRNA from 1 species